CCUACGGGUGGCAGCAGUGGGGAAUAUUGCACAAUGGGGGAAACCCUGAUGCAGCGACGCCGCGUGAGUGAAGAAGUAAUUCGUUACGUAAAGCUCUAUCAGCAGGGAAGAAACACUGACCUUACGGUCAGCAGACGGUACCUGAGUAAGAAGCCCCGGCUAACUACGUGCCAGCAGCCGCGGUAAUACGUAGGGGGCAAGCGUUAUCCGGUUUUACUGGGUGUAAAGGGAGCGUAGACGGUGAGGCAAGUCUGGAGUGAAAUGCCGGGGCUUAACUGCGGAACUGCUUUGGAAACUGGCGAACUAGAGUGCGGGAGGGGUAAGCGGAAUUCCUAGUGUAGCGGUGAAAUGCGUAGAUAUUAGGAGGAACACCGGUGGCGAAGGCGGCUUACUGGACCGUAACUGACGUUGAGGCUCGAAAGCGUGGGGAGCAAACAGGAUUAGAUACCCCGGUAGUC
rnacentral:rRNA from 1 species